AAGCAAAGCUUAAUUUCCCAGAGGAUGUAAGAAUUCUUCCUCCUCCUCCUCCUCUUCUUCCUCCACCAGCUGACACGGCGGCGAAUAAAGCAGAAGAGGAUCUGAUAAAUUAUUGGAGUUAUUCAAAGUUGUUGCAAAGUUCAGACCAACGGUUAAUCCCCGAGCGAGGACAAGAAGAGAGUACCAACAUACUAGAACAUUUACCAAUGGAACAACCUUUGCCUCCUUCAAGUUCUGGUCCAAGUUCCUCUGAUUUUUGUGGACCUUCCUCUACCUAAUACAUUACAUAUUUCACUUUUAUUAACAAACAGUCUACAAAACCAUUUAAAUACGUAGCUAAAAGAAAAUGAUUUUUCUUGUCUCUAUACAUUGCUAAGUGCUAAACAAUAUAUAUUGUACUCUGUUUUGCCUUAAGUAAUCUCUCUCUUUUCGUUGUAGAAUCUUUCUUUAUCAUCCAAAUUUCAUUUCCUCGUUCUAGUUUCGUAUCUCAUUAUGUCAAAACG
rnacentral:lncRNA from 1 species